rnacentral:rRNA from 1 species
GAUGAACGCUGGCGGCGUGCCUAAUACAUGCAAGUCGAGCGAACAGACGAGGAGCUUGCUCCUCUGACGUUAGCGGCGGACGGGUGAGUAACACGUGGAUAACCUACCUAUAAGACUGGGAUAACUUCGGGAAACCGGAGCUAAUACCGGAUAAUAUAUUGAACCGCAUGGUUCAAUAGUGAAAGACGGUUUUGCUGUCACUUAUAGAUGGAUCCGCGCCGCAUUAGCUAGUUGGUAAGGUAACGGCUUACCAAGGCCACGAUGCGUAGCCGACCUGAGAGGGGGAUCGGCCACACGGGAACUGAGACACGGUCCAGACUCCUACGGGAGGCAGCAGUAGGGAAUCUUCCGCAAUGGGCGAAAGCCUGACGGAGCAACGCCGCGUGAGUGAUGAAGGUCUUCGGAUCGUAAAACUCUGUUAUUAGGGAAGAACAAAUGUGUAAGUAACUAUGCACGUCUUGACGGUACCUAAUCAGAAAGCCACGGCUAACUACGUG